rnacentral:lncRNA from 1 species
UUAUGGCAGUGUCCCACUUCCAGGUGUCAAAUUCCAUUCUAGUACUCUUUCGCUACUUCAUCGCUAGCUUGAUAACAAACAAAAAUGUGUUUGAAAAGCUUUGUAUCAUUUUAAUGGGUCUCAAAUUAACCUACCUAUUCUGUCAAGGAUAUGAGAUAGCUCCAUGACUAAUAGGUCUUUGUAGAUGAUACUUAUUGGAAUGAGGAAGAUUUUUCUAUCCCUAGUUUGCUGAGAAUUUUUUCAUGAAUAAGUUGGAUUGUUUCAAGUGCCUUUUCCACAUUUCUUGAGAUGAUUUUUGAAAAAUUUCUUAUCAUGGUGAGUUGCAUUUAUUUUAUUUCAAAUGUUAAACUAACCUUGCAUUGCAGGGAUAAAUCCUACCUGGUAAUGGCGUAUUAUUCUUUUUAUAUAUUACUGGGUUUAAUUUGCUGAUGGUUGAUUGAGUAAGAUUGCAUUCCUGAGGUUUAUUGUGCCACUAGGUUAUAGUGGCCUCAUUAAACAGAUUGAUAAAUGUAACUUCACUACUUUCGUAAGGAGUAUUUGUAUAGAAUUGAUUAUUUAUUCCCUUAAUUUUUGAUAGAAUUCACUAGUAAAAUCAUUUUGGUUUGGAGUUCUCCUUGUGUGAAAAUUUUGGUUAUGAAUUCAAUUUCCUAAAGACAAAGAGCUAUUUAUGUUUUCCUUUUUUUAAAAAAUGUAACUUGUGUCUAUCAAAGACCUUGUUCAUUUUCUUCCAGCUGUUAAAUGUAUUAGCAUAAAUUUGUUUAUAAUAUUCCUUUAUUAUCCCUUUACUAUUUGUGGACUCUACAGUGAUGCUUCCUUCUUCUUUCUCUAUAUUGGUAAUUUUCUGCAAGGUGUGGUAUGAGAACCUACUGAUGUGGUUGACCUUUCCUAUUAAGAGCUAGCAUUUCCCUUUUGUGGCCUUUUCAUUGUAAAGCAUUAGGAGGCCCCUUCAGGAUCUGCCCGGACUUAGCUGCCCCGAUAAAGGAAGAGAGGAAUGAAAAUACAAAUGAACUAACAAAUAAAUGUUAGCCAGUAUAUACUAGCACAAGCUAAGGGAGUACCUGUAGGAUUGGAUAUUUUUGUUGAUUAAUUAAGGAAGCUGAAACAUAAGACUGAUAAAGGAUAACAGACAAACAGAGAGCCAAAUCAUGAGUGAACUCCCAUUCACAAUUGCUUCAAAGAGAAUAAAAUACCUAGGAAUACAACUUACAAGGGAUGUGAAGGACCUCUUCAAGGAGAACUACAAACCACUGCUCAAUGAAAUAAAAGAGGAUACAAACAAAUGGAAGAAAAUUCCAUGCUCAUGGGUAGGAAGAAUCAAUAUCAUGAAAAUGGCCAUACUGCCCAAGGUAAUUUACAGAUUCAAUGCCAUCCCCAUCAAGCUACCAAUGACUUUCUUCACAGAAUUGGAAAAAACUACUUUAAAGUUCAUAUGGAACCAAAAAAGAGCCCGCAUCGCCAAGUCAAUCCUAAGCCAAAAGAACAAAGCUGGAGGCAUCACGCCACCUGACUUCAAACUAUGCUACAAGGCUACAGUCACCAAAACAGCAUGGUACUGGUACCAAAACAGAGAUAUAGAUCAAUGGAACAGAACAGAGCCCUCAGAAAUAAUGCUGCCUAUCUACA